rnacentral:tRNA from 1 species
GCCGAGGUAGCUCAGUCGGUAGAGCACGCGGCUGAAAACUGCGGUGUCGGCAGUUCGAUUCUGCCCCUCGGCACCA